rnacentral:piRNA from 1 species
UAAGUUCAGUGUCUCUGGUUUUAUGUA